GUACCAUCAGAAAAAGGACCGGCUAAUUCCGUGCCAGCAGCCGCGGUAAUACGGAAGGUCCAGGCGUUAUCCGGAUUUAUUGGGUUUAAAGGGAGCGCAGGCGGCGGCGUAAGUCAGUUGUGAAAUCGUGCGGCUUAACCGUGCAAUUGCAGUUGAUACUGCGUCGCUUGAGUGCACACAGGGAUGUUGGAAUUCAUGGUGUAGCGGUGAAAUGCUUAGAUAUCAUGAAGAACUCCGAUCGCGAAGGCAUAUGUCCGGAGUGCAACUGACGCUGAGGCUCGAAAGUGUGGGUAUCAAACAGGAUUAGAUACCCUGGUAGUCCACGCCGUAAACGAUGAAUUCUAGGUGUAGGGGCCCCAAGCCUCUGUGCCGCCGCUAACGCAUUAAGUAUUCCGCCUGGGGAGUACGGUCGCAAGAUUAAAACUCAAAGGAAUUGACGGGGUCCCGCACAAGCAGCGGAGCAUGUGGUUUUAAUUCGAAGCAACGCGAAGAACCUUACCUAGACUUGACAUGUCCUGAAUUACCAGUAAUGUGGGAAGUUCCUUCGGGAACAGGAACACAGGUGGUGCAUGGUUGUCGUCAGCUCGUGUCGUGAGAUGUUGGGUUAAGUCCCGCAACGAGCGCAACCCUUAUUGUUAGUUGGUACCAUUAAGUUGACCACUCUAGCGAGACUGCCCGGGUUAACCGGGAGGAAGGUGGGGAUGACGUCAAAUCAUCAUGCCCCUUAUGUCUAGGGCUACACACGUGCUACAAUGGCAAGUACAAAGAGAAGCAAUACUGUGAAGUGGAGCAAAACUCAAAAACUUGUCUCAGUUCGGAUUGUAGGCUGAAACUCGCCUACAUGAAGCUGGAGUUGCUAGUAAUCGCGAAUCAGAAUGUCGCGGUGA
rnacentral:rRNA from 1 species